CCUACGGGAGGCAGCAGUGAGGGAUAUUGGUCAAUGGGCGAAAGCCUGAACCAGCAACGCCGCGUGAGGGAAGACGGUUUUCGGAUUGUAAACCUCUGUCCUCUGUGAAGAUAAUGACGGUAGCAGCGGAGGAAGCUCCGACUAACUACGUGACAGCAGCCGCGGUCAUACGUAGGGACCACGCGUUGUCCGGCUUUACUGGGUGUAAAGGGUUCUUAGGCGGGUUUGCAGGUCGGAAGGGAAAGCCAUGGGUUUAACCCAUGAACUGCGUUUGAAACUGCAGGGCUGGAGUGGAGUAGAGGUAGGCGGAAUGCCCGGUGUCGCGGUGAAAUGCGUAGAGAGCGGGAGGAACACCAGUGGCGAAGGCGGCCUGCUGGGCUCUAACUGACGCUGAGGCACGAAAGCGUGGGUAGCAAACAGGAUUAGAUACCCGGGUAGUC
rnacentral:rRNA from 1 species